rnacentral:lncRNA from 1 species
UAGGAAUCUAUUCGGUGGUUAGAAGAUGAAAAGGCCCUCUUAGAGAUGACUGAAGAAGUAGAUUAUGAUGUUGAUUCAUAUGCUACACAACUUGAAGCUAUUCUUGAGCAAAAAAUAGACAUUUUAACUGAACUGCGGGAUAAAGUGAAAUCUUUCCGUGCAGCUCUACAAGAGGAGGAACAAGCCAGCAAGCAAAUCAACCCGAAGAGACCCCGUGCCCUUUAAACCGGCAUUUGCUGCUAAAGGAUACCCAGAACCCUCACUACUGUAACAUACAACGGUUCAGCUGUAAGGGCCAUUUGAAAGUUUGGAAUUUUAAAUGUCUGUGGAAAAUGUUUUGUCCUUCACCUGAAUUACAUUUCAAUUUUGUGAAACACUCUUUUGUCUACAAAAUGCUUCUAGUCCAGGAGGCACAACCAAGAACUGGGAUUAAUGAAGCAUUUUGUUUCAUUUACACAAAUAGUGAUUUACUUUUGGAGAUCCUUGUCAGUUUUAUUUUCUAUUUGAUGAAGUAAGACUGUGGACUCAAUCCAGAGCCAGAUAGUAGGGGGAAGCCACAGCAUUUCCUUUUAACUCAGUUCAAUUUUUGUAGUGAGACUGAGCAGUUUUAAAUCCUUUGCGUGCAUGCAUACCUCAUCAGUGAUUGUACAUACCUUGCCCACUCCUAGAGACAGCUGUGCUCACCUUUUCCUGCUUUGUGCCUUGAUUAAGGCUACUGACCCUAAAUUUCUGAAGCACAGCCAAGAAAAAUUACAUUCCUUGUCAUUGUAAAUUACCUUUGUGUGUACAUUUUUACUGUAUUUGAGACAUUUUUUGUGUGUGACUAGUUAAUUUUGCAGGAUGUGCCAUAUCAUUGAACGGAACUAAAGUCUGUGACAGUGGAUAUAGCUGCUGGACCAUUCCAUCUUAUAUGUAAAGAAAUCUGGAAUUAUUAUUUUAAAACCAUAUAACAUGUGAUUAUAAUUUUUCUUAGCAUUUUCUUUGUAAAGAACUAAAAUAUAAACUAGUUGGUGUAUAAUAAAAAGUAAUGAAAUUCUGAGAAGAGUUUUAUCUUAGGAAAAUACAUAUAUAUGCAGUGUGUGUGCCAGUGUGGUAUUAACAAGACUAAUAGUGCAGUUUGAUCCUUACCAAUAUCAUUACUUAAUUUGAAGUGUUCAUUAGCACCCCAAAAUAUACCUUUUCUAUGUACUGUUAAAAGAAAUUGGCUUCUGAUGCAUGAACAUUUACAUGUACAUUGAAAGUAGUCCAUAAUAGAAGUUAGUUUAAGCCAAGUGUAGACAGUACAUUACUCCCUUGAAAAAGAAUUAAGUUGAAAGAGUUGACUUUGCCUUAAAAGGCAGAUCUAACCCAAGCUCCAUCCAGUACCAAAUGUGAAACUUCAUUGUUGUUUGGUGAGAAUCGCCAAAUUCUCACUAAUACAUUGGUAUGGUGUAGGGCAUGCUACUUUUUAAACAGUAGCACUUAUUUUUACAGAUUGCUACUCCAAGGAAGAAAACUGGCCACUUUUCAUGUAAAUAUUUUGUUCAAAGAUUUGUAUAUCUCUCUAGGAGUUUUCCCUCAGUUCCCAGGAUGGGGUCCAGGAGUAGAUUAACAGCUGAAAAUCUCCCAAGGAUAUCUUCUUUUGAUUUAUUUACUCCAGGGAACUAUCAGCUCCUUCACAGGAGCCAAAGGGGAGCUAUGAAUAGAGGGUCACAUGAGCCAGAUUCUUUACUGUUCAUAAAACCCAGAGAGUAGUUGUGAAAGAUCCUAAUACAAUUGUGAAAAGCUCUGUAAACAUGAAAUCUAAAACAAAUGUAGAUUUUCACAAUAUGCUUAUUAAUAAAUGAAGUCUAUGGAAUAAGUUUUAGAGAUAAUUUACUUCAGUCACCUUUGUUUUGGAAAGGACUCAGGUUUUCUUGCAGCUGUAAGAUAUAUUCUAUUUGUGUUUAUUUCAAAGGGAAGAGGGAGGAUGGAGAACUGUUACAAUUGACCUUGCAAAGGAUAUUUAAAAAAAGGUAGUUUUUGAGAUUAACCAACUUUCAAAGGGCAAUAAAGACAUGUGAAUUUGCUCAUUUUAAAGCACAACAGAUUAGCUUCAAAUUUAUUAUUUGCAUUGGAUGGGUACUGUCUUUGGAAAGUCUCCUUAUAGACAAAUAUGCUGCCUUACACUAUGAUGGCUUCAUUCUGAUCAGGUAUUUUAAAAAUUAGUACCAGAAAACAUACUGGAGGUAGUAUAAUACAGUCCUUCAGCUUUACAGAUGGUGAAAACUGAAGGCCAGAAAAGAAAGGAACUAAAACUCAGCAGUUCAUAGGGGUAGAGGGAAAUAACCUGAGAAAGCUGAGUUAAAUCUUAAAAUUUUUACUAUAAGGAUAGAGAUGAUACAAGUGAACUCUGCAAAAUAGUUUUGUGAAAUUAAACAAAAAAAUCUACUCUUAAUGUAUAUUUCAUAUUUGUUUAACAAAAGCAGCUUGAUGCCUUUGUUCUGGAUUAUACAUUAAGAACAAGCAUUAUUUUAAUUAUGUAGUAACAUUUACUAUGACUUUGAAGCCAGAUUUCAAAAUCUGGCUUUGUUAAAUUAAUUGGAAACACUCCUUCUAUUAAGUUAGGUAUUAAAAAAAGCCAAAUAUCAAUAAAGAUAUUUUUAUUAAUUUUUUAUAGAAACAAAAUAGCUACUAUAACUCUAUUAUAGUAUAUUAACAGCACUUAGUAUUAUAUUGAUUUAAACGUAGUAGCUAAUAAAACUUGUUUAUGACAUCUAUUGAAAUUCUCAAUCUGACAGUUUUAAAAUAGCUUAAAACUAAGCACCAGGUAUAUGAAAAAAGAACUGGAAAUUUUAAUUGUCCAGAAAUCAAAGGAAUACUGGGAACCUGUAGUUAUGGGAAAUGGCUGUUUUUCUGAAGUUGAAACCAGUUUCAAUUACAAAACCCUCUGAAAUUUUGCUAAGCCUAUAGUUAUCUCCCUAAGAACCAUAAAAAAAGAUAAUUUUAUUGUUAAUUUCAUUCCAGUUUAGCUUCCUCAUUUUACAUGUUGGGAGUCAUGCCCUUUAAUAUGCCUGGCACUGCACGGUGGCAGUAGCAGACUUGGGCUUACCCAGAACCCUAAGUCUCUGACGCUAUAGGAUAGCGAAAGAGGUAGGCAAUCGUAACAGACACUGUAUAGGAUAAAUAGGGAAGAGAAUGAGAGAACCAAAAUAAAAAUAAUUUAAGAAACAAUUGUUUUACUGUACAUGUGAAUAACAAGAAAUGGUACGGGGAAUGUGAAUAACACGAAAUGGUAUGGGGAAUGUGUGACUAGUGAAGCAUAUUUUAACUUUUUUAUUACUGGAGGAACAGAGCUAAAGGCCUAAAGAAGGCCUUACAGUAUAUAACAGUAAAUAGAAGAGUAACAUCUUUAUACAAUAAACUGUUAGAAAUGAUAAGUGUAAAGUUGUGCGUCUCUGCGGCUCCUGAACUUGAAGAUUAUUAUGAAUAGAUUAGACCAGCAUUAUAUAUUAAAAACUUUGAUACUUAGAACUUUCCAACUUUAAAAUUCAGAAUCAUAAAUGGUGACAACAGUAGUAGUAUUGAACCAAAAAUAGUCAAGUAAAUAAUGUCUCAGUAAAGCAAAAGCAUUAUCUUCUCAAAUACAAAAAAUACAAAAUUCAUUUCUUUUCUUGACCUUGAAAAUUUCUGUUUUCCAAAUACCUAGGAAAAAUGAAUACCUUCUGCGUUGAAUCCAUGUAGCAAUCUGAAAAAAGAAAUCAAAAUGGAAUGGUACUGAAAAGCUAAUUUGUAGCACAUAACGGCAUAUAGUUCUAUACCAUUAAUACUAAAACAUGAAUACAGCAUGCUUACAGAGCCCACCCACUCCUAAUACUAGUUAUUAAAGAAACGUUACUGGCUGGGCGCAGUGGCUUAUGCCUGUAAUCCCAGCACUUUGGGAGGCUGAGGCGGGUGGAUUACCUGAGGUCAGGAGUUCGAGAACAGUCUGGCCAACAUGGUGAAACCCCGCCUCUACUAAAAAUACAAAAAUUAGCCUGGCAUGGUGGCACAUGCCUGUAAUCCCAGCUACUCGGGUGGUUGAGGCAGGAGAUUUGCCUGAACCCAGGAGGCGGAGGUUGCAGUGAGCUGAGAUUGUGCCACUGGAGUCCAGCCUGGGUGACAGAGCAAGACUCUGUCUCAAAAAAAAAAAAAAAAAGAAAAAGAAAUGUUAUUGUCUGACUAAAUUUAUAAGAUAUGUAUUGGUUAAAACCAUGCCAUGUUGGUGCCUCUUUCAUUAUAGCCUUUAUGUCGUAAUGAAUUUGACUAAAAUUAUCUUAGACUUUCAUUAUCCCAGGCCUAAGAACUCACUGGCAUUUGUUUCAAGGUAACUGAACAAGAAGCUGUUUGGAAUUGGCAGAAGUCAGAUGAAUAACCAAUCUUACAUGCCCCUUCGUCCUCUCUUGAGCUGUUGUUUAUAUUCAAAUUAAAUACACAUUGUUUCUCUCUGUAGAUACCUAUGUACUUAAUAGAUUCUAGUUAGUAAACUGCACAUGCCCAAUAACUUUGAGGAAAUUUAGUGAAAAUGAAGAAAAAGAGAAAAUAUUUCUCUUUAGACCUGAGGUUAUGUUUAGGCUGGCCCAUAGAAACAGGUCCAGAUAAAUUUCUAAAAAAGCAAAGUAGAUAUUUAUGAAUAGUAUUCAAUGCCUAGGAUUAACAUCUAAAAUGACUCAGUAGUACUGCUAGCCAGCCAAUAAAAUAUAAACUCCAUUUGUCUUAGUUAUAUAGAACUGUGUUUCCAGCUUAGAAAAAGUCAAACCAAUGACUUUUAGAACAAUCUACUCUCAUUUUUUAUUCAGCCUCUAGAACAUGGAAGCUUUAAAAGUGAAUUGGCUAAAUAGGCAAGACCUUCUGAAAGUUAACAUCUUAAUGAUUAAAAACAGUAAGUACAGGUUAGUAAUUACCUGGGUAAUUAAUUGAAGCCUUAUUCUGUUUUCAUAAGACUUACUUGCUUAAUUCAAGCAAAACAAAUUUUGGUCUAAAUUACCUAGAUAAUUAUGACAGCUUUUUACUUGAGAAGUGUAGAACUUGCUUCAGGCUACAAAACUAUUAUUACUAAAUGGAUAACCAGGUAGGAUUCUAACUGGCAUUAUUGUAUGCUUAAGAUUGAUUUAACAACAGCUAUUCCCAGUAAGGAAAUUUUAAAAAUCAGAUCCAGUUACAUGUAUUAUGAUUUUUCUACCUUAUGGACUAUUUUGGAGGGAUAAGCUAUUAAGACUAAGACUAUGAAUGAGAGUUGGGGAGGGAGCAGGAAGGGAGGAACCUGCACACCACAUUGGAACCUGCACACCACAUUAACACAAAGGCAAUCUUCUGGCUCGGACUGUUCUUUACUACUGUUCUUAAAGAAAAUGUUCAUUCUGCUGCAGCUAACUAGCCUCCAUCUUCUACACCAAAUACUAUUCCAUGCCAUGGAAGUGCUAUGCAAUAACUCUCCCAGGUAGCACCUUAUACCGCUUAAAAGCCUUUAAAAUCUCUAAUCUGAAGGUGUCACAGUAAAGAAAUGUAAACACUUAGGAAAACAAAAAUGUAAUUACCUGAUGAAGUCAUCUAUGUCCAUGGAACGGGCCCGUUUGUCACUAAAACCUGUGCUGGUUAGGAUUUGCUGUAUUUUAUCUGCUAUGCUGAAAUCUUCUGGUAUUAUCUAUCAAUAUAAGAUUCAGAAUAAAUGAACGACAUAUCUUUAAUGAGGUCACCUUGACUCUUUUUUUUAGUUCAGUAAGUCAUAAAACAGUCACCUUUAAUAUAUCUGUUAAUGAGACUUUGGAAAGCCUGACUUUUACAUUAAGACUUGGAUCUCUAAUUAAAAGUGGCUGAUCUUUAUUAACAAAAACUUGGAAUACCUUGAAUUAGUAAUCCUGUCUAUAUUAGCCAUUUU